GGGGUUAUGGCUCAGUGGUAGAGCCCUUGCCUCACAUGUAUGAGGCACUGGGUUCGAUUCUCAGCACCA
rnacentral:tRNA from 1 species